GAAUUAUAAAAAUGUUCUUGAACUAUGAAAUUGGCAGUUACAUACUUAAACUAUAUGAGACUCUUAUAGCCCCCACCCCACCCCACCCCACCCCUCGAAGUUACUUCAAGGGAAGUAAUAAGCUCCUCGUAUAGUUUAGAGGUGUGAAAAAAUUAAGUUCAUAUAGUUCUUAUUUAUGCCUUAUCCCAAAAUCAUACAAAGAUAUGAAAGAUGUCAAAUUGCAAAUAUUCCCUUCAUCCAUUUUUAUUUGUUCACUUUUUUUUUCUUGUCCAAUUUUAAAAACCAAGAGACAAUUAACCAUUUUAUUCAUAUUUUACCCUUUAUAUUACGUACUACAAUUCAUUUCCGAUGAGUUUUCCAAAAUAUUCAAUUUAUUAUAUUUAAAAAGUUAUAUUGUAAAUUUAUCA
rnacentral:lncRNA from 1 species